rnacentral:sRNA from 1 species
AUGGCUGUCGUCAGCUCGUGUCGUGAGAUGUUGGGUUAAGUCCCGCAACGAGCGCAACCCUUACUUUUAGUUGCUACCAUUUAGUUGGGCACUCUAAAAGAACUGCCAGUGAUAAGCUGGAGGAAGGUGGGGAUGACGUCAAGUCCUCAUGGCCUUUAUGCCCCGGGCUACACACGUGCUACAAUGGGCGGUACAAAGAGCAGCCAACUCGCGAGAGUGAGCGAAUCUCAGAAAACCGUCCACAGUUCGGAUUGCAGUCUGCAACUCGACUGCAUGAAGUUGGAAUCGCUAGUAAUCGCGGAUCAGCACGCCGCGGUGAAUACGUUCCCGGGCCUUGUACACACCGCCCGUCACAUCACGGGAGUGGGCUGUACUAGAAGUCGCUGGGCCAACCUGCUUCGGCAGGAGGUAAGCGCCGACGGUAUGGUUCAUGACUGGGGUGAAGUCGUAACAAGGUAGCUGUAGGAGAACCUGUGGCUGGAUCACCUCCUUUCUAACGGAAACCCGCAGAGGUCUCGGUUCUUACAAUCGAGAGCACCCUCUGCCAAAAAAUGGCUCACUGUCUGGUUGUCUGAGUUCACCAGGGGCUCAGUGUUUUUUUAUAGGGAUCGGCGCAUUGACAAAAUCGCUGUUUCUCUCCUAAAAUACGAGUUUGGUCCUAGCGACCAAAGUGCACCCUUUUUAGGGUGUUGUGGGAUCUUUGAAAAUUCGGAAAACAUGGGCAAAACUACAUCAAGUUUUGAGCAGAAUUUCUUGUGCAACAAGAAAUUCUAGGUCAAGCUACUAAGGGUGUACGGUGGAUGCCUUGGUGCGAAGAGACGAUGAAGGACGUGGCAAGCUGCGAAAAGCCUCGGUGAGUUGCAAGCAAACGAAGACCCGGGGAUGUCCGAAUGGGGAAACCCGG